CUAAGAAUAUUCCGCAAUGGACGGAAGUCUGACGGAGCGACGCCGCGUGGAUGACGAAGGCCGAAAGGUUGUAAAGUUCUUUUGCUGGGGAAGAAUAACCGCAGGAGGGAAUGCCUGUGGGAUGACAAGAACCGGCGAAUAAGCCCCGGCCAACUACGUGCCAGCAGCCGCGGUAACACGUAGGGGGCGAGCGUUGUUCGGAAUUACUGGGCGUAAAGGGCAUGUAGGCGGCUUGGAAAGCCUGGCGUGAAAGUCUGCAGCUUAACUGCAGGGGUGCGCUGGGAACUGCUGAGCUUGAGUGACGGAGAGGGAGCUGGAAUUCCUGGUGUAGGGGUGAAAUCUGUAGAUAUCAGGAAGAACACCGAUGGCGAAGGCAAGCUCCUGGCCGAUGACUGACGCUGAGGUGCGAAAGUGUGGGGAUCAAACAGGAUUAGAUACCCUGGUAGUCCACACAGUCAACGAUGUGCACUAGGUGCUGGGGCGGUAGCUUCGGUGCCGGAGCGAACGUGGUAAGUGCACCGCCUGGGGAGUAUGCUCGCAAGGGUGAAACUC
rnacentral:rRNA from 1 species